rnacentral:lncRNA from 1 species
CCAGUGGAAUUUGCCUUUGGGAUAAUAGUUGUAAACAUGGGUUGUGUUGCCUGAGAUGAAAUUGUUUGAUGGGUCGAUGGAGUCUCAACAGGUGGUUCUUGGUUGAUUUAACAACUUGAGUCACAACAUCUUUACAUGAUGGAAGUGGUGUGAGGUCAUCAACAGAAACAAUGAGGCUUUGUGAUGAUUUUUUUUAGUGGCGAGGACCUUUUUAGGACAUGUU